CACACACACACAGUCAGUCAGUCUUGCUCUGGCCGCCACACAGGCUACAUGUACCGGGAGCUCCGCGCGGCCUUAACACAGUCGACACUCUCCCUCACUCUCACUGGGGCUCUCACUCUCACGGUGUCACUCAUUCUCGGCGCUCACUCUACUACCCGUGCGGCGACUUCCCUUCCUCGUCACUGUCCUCUCCCUCACGGCUACUACUACUACUAGACUACUUCCCUACCUGACUAACCUCUCUGUCAGGUCUCCGUGUGUGAGGACGGCGUCAAAUUUAUUUUGUUUUUUUAGAAGGUGAAAAAAACUGUAGAGCAAUUUUGCCAGAUUGUUGUUUUUUCAUUAUUAUAUAUUUUUUUCCUAGCCUCUAUACUACACACCAGUUGUACUUCCCCCCUCGUUCAAUGUUCUCAGAGUCGAAUGAGCUGUGAUCAGGGGAAACUAACCCGAGUGUCCAUCAUCACCCUCAUGAAAGUGUCUUAAGAACAGAAACAAAGAUAUACAAAAUUUGUUGAUAUAUUCCUCCCUUAUUGCGCCAACCACAAGUGUUACCUGUAAAAAAAAAAAAAAAAAAAAAAAAAAAACAUUUUGAAAGUGAUCUGAAGAAUUCAAUCAGAUUAUUUUUUGGCAUUUAAGAUCCCAAAUUUGAGAUCUAUGUGACCCAGGCUUAAAACUACGAUACUUGUCUCUUUAUCUCUGUCUCUCUCUGUCUCUCUCCUUCUCUCACUCCUCCCUAUUAUCAUCUCUCAUUAUCCACAAUACCCCUUUUAUUUCUCUCAGUCAUUCUUUCUCUCCUAACUCCACCAUUCUCCCUCUCUCACGUAUCUCUAGUAUAUCUCCCCUCCCCGUCUCUCUCUCUACGCCCCCCCCUCCUUCACGUCGAGAGAUCCCCGAAAAAGUAAAAUAAAAUAAGAUAAAGAAGUGAAAUAGAGAUCGUUUGAGAGGUAACCAAAGUCUCGUCGGUGUCUCUGUGAAUGUGUCAGUGUUAGUGUCGAGAAGAACAACAAACAACAAAACAAAGAGACAACAACAACAACCACCACUACUACAACCCCCGUCGUACGUAUCACAAGGAAGAGGAAUUUAGACGGACACGCGGACGGAAACAGACGGGAAUAACAAGGAGGACAGAACAGAGGAAUUUAAAAGAACCUGACCACCACAACAAUUACCACUACUACCACUACUACCACCACCACCACCACCAUGACCAGCACACCGCCCCUCAGCAAGUUGCGUCUCUCCAGCUUCCUCUCACAGAGCUUCGAAGCCGCAGCCCAAACGGUUGAGAUAUGCAAAGGUUUUCAAAACUGCAGAGUUCCAUGUUGGCAAUGGUAA